GUGCUGUAUAUAACAUUUAUACAUGGUGCAAAUAAAAACAUGGGACUUGAAAUAUAAUGUGCAUGCAGUAGGCUCUUGAACGAGUCAAGACUCUUUCCUGGUGCUGGUCUUGCAUGAUGGUAUUUGGAAAGAGUGAGAAUUCACAUAUCUUAAUAAUCUGUCUGGUUGUAUUAGUUUGUCGUCAGCAUCAACAUUUACUUCCUCAUUUGAGAUUUUAUAUAUCUUUGAAGCCAGAGUGUGAGCGUCAGAACAGUGACCCCAUUUUUUUUUAUUUUCUUUUUCUUUUAAGUAUAUGAUAUAGUUCAUUUAUAGAAAAAAUGGAAUUAUACCCUGAUUCAACUUGGUGGGGUUCGUGUUGUUUAUUCUUUAGUUUUCUAGUGUUGUGUCGUGUGUGCUGUUGUUUGUUUGUCUUUUUCAUUUUUAGCCAUGGCGUUGUCAGUUAGAUUUAUGAGUUUGACUGUUCCUUUGGUAUCUUUCGUCCCUCUUUUACAAUUAACAUUACUUGUUAGAGUGUAGGAACAUUUGGAUCAUUUGGUCAAAAGAACAGAAAAAAAAUGAACGAAAAGGAUCUAUUACACAACACAUUAG
rnacentral:lncRNA from 1 species